UACGGAGGGUGCGAGCGUUGUCCGGAAUCACUGGGCGUAAAGGGCGCGUAGGCGGCUCGGUAAGUAGGGGGUGAAAUCCUGCGGCUUAACCGCAGGGCUGCCUUCUAAACUGUCGAGCUCGAGCACGGUAGAGGCAGAUGGAAUUCCCGGUGUAGCGGUGGAAUGCGCAGAUAUCAGGAGGAACACCUAUGGCGAAGGCAGCUCGCUGGGACGGUACUGACGCUGAGACGCGAAAGCGUGGGGAGCGAACAGG
rnacentral:rRNA from 1 species